UUGUUGGUAAGGUAAAAGCUUACCAAGGCUUCGAUCAGUAGCUGGUCUGAGAGGACGACCAGCCACACUGGGACUGAGACACGGCCCAAACUCCUACGGGAGGCAGCAGUGAGGAAUUUUGGACAAUGGGGGCAACCCUGAUCCAGCCAUGCCGCGUGAGUGAAGAAGGCCUUCGGGUUGUAAAGCUCUUUCAGCCGGAACGAAACGGUUACGGAUAACACCCGUGACUACUGACGGUACCGGAAGAAGAAGCACCGGCUAACUACGUGCCAGCAGCCGCGGUAAUACGUAGGGUGCGAGCGUUAAUCGGAAUUACUGGGCGUAAAGCGUGCGCAGGUGGUUUUGUAAGUCAYAUGUGAAAGCCCCGGGCUCAACCUGGGAACUGCGUUUGAAACUACAAGACUAGAGUGUGGCAGAGGGGGGUGGAAUUCCGCGUGUAGCAGUGAAAUGCGUAGAGAUGUGGAGGAACACCGAUGGCGAAGGCAGCCCCCUGGGUCAACACUGACGCUCAGGCACGAAAGCAUGGGGAGCAAACAGGAUUAGAUACCCUGGUAGUCCAUGCCCUAAACGAUGUCAACUAGUUGUCGGGCCUUUACGGGCUUGGUAACGUAGCUAACGCGUGAAGUUGACCGCCUGGGGAGUACGAUCGCAAGAUUAAAACUCAAAUGAAUUGACGGGGACCCGCACAAGCGGCGGAUUAUGUGGAUUAAUUCGAUGCAACGCGAAAAACCUUACCUACCCUUGACAUGUAUCGAAGCCCGCAGAAAAGCGGGGGUGCCCGAAAGGGAACGAUAACACAGGUGCUGCAUGGCUGUCGUCAGCUCGUGUCGUGAGAUGUUGGGUUAAGUCCCGCAACGAGCGCAACCCUUGUCAUUAAUUGCCAUCAUUUAGUUGGGCACCUUAAUGAGACUGCCGG
rnacentral:rRNA from 1 species